rnacentral:rRNA from 1 species
AUUGAACGCUGGCGGCAUGCUUUACACAUGCAAGUCGAACGGUAACAGGCCUUCGGGUGCUGACGAGUGGCGAACGGGUGAGUAAUGCAUCGGAACGUACCCAGAGGUGGGGGAUAACGCAGCGAAAGCUGUGCUAAUACCGCAUGUGAUCUGAGGAUGAAAGCGGGGGACCGAGCAGCAAUGUUUGGCCUCGCGCCUUUGGAGCGGCCGAUGUCGGAUUAGCUAGUUGGUGGGGUAAAGGCCUACCAAGGCGACGAUCCGUAGCUGGUCUGAGAGGACGACCAUCCACACUGGGACUGAGACACGGCCCAGACUCCUACGGGAGGCAGCAGUGGGGAAUUUUGGACAAUGGGCGCAAGCCUGAUCCAGCAAUGCCGCGUGCGGGAAGAAGGCCUUCGGGUUGUAAACCGCUUUUGGCUGGAACGAAACGGUGUCCGCUAAUACCGGGCGCUAAUGACGGUACCUGCAGAAUAAGCACCGGCUAACUACGUG